GACGAACGCUGGCGGCGUGCUUAACACAUGCAAGUCGAACGGAAAGGCCUCUUUCGGGGGGUACUCGAGUGGCGAACGGGUGAGUAACACGUGAGUAACCUGCCCUUGACUUUGGGAUAACUUCAGGAAACUGGGGCUAAUACCGGAUAGGAGCUCCUGCUGCAUGGUGGGGGUUGGAAAGUUUCGGCGGUUGGGGAUGGACUCGCGGCUUAUCAGCUUGUUGGUGGGGUAGUGGCUUACCAAGGCUUUGACGGGUAGCCGGCCUGAGAGGGUGAGCGGCCACAUUGGGACUGAGAUACGGCCCAGACUCCGACGGGAGGCAGCAGUGGGGAAUAUUGCACAAUGGGUGGAAGCCUGAUGCAGCAACGCCGUGUGCGGGAUGACGGCCUUCGGGUUGUAAACCGCUUUCGCUCAUGACGAAGCUUUGUGUGACGGUAGUGGGUAAAGAAGCACCGGCUAACUACGUG
rnacentral:rRNA from 1 species